UCGCUUCGGCAGCACAUAUACUAAAAUCAGAACAAUACAGAGAAGAUUAGCAUGGGCCCUGCAUGAGGAUGACACAAAAUUUUGUUAAGCAUUCCAUAGAGCU
rnacentral:snRNA from 1 species